ACAAUCAAAUGGCAGCAGUUUGGAGAAUCGUUUCGCCAACUUCGGUCUUGGAUAUCGAAAAUCCCAAAAAUGAGUACCGGGUAUAAAAACUGGGAUAAGUAUGUAGAAAUAGUAGGCUGUGGAAUCGAACAAAACUUAGAAAAAAUCCGAACAGGGAAAAUAUUCUCGGAAAUAUUCAUUCAGUCCCCAGGUCUCGGCUGGGGAACAUCAAAAUUUUGAGCAGGAUAUAGCCGUAAAUCCAUAUCCACAUCCACAGGUAGCUGCUGCUGGAGCUUUGCUGGUUACACACAAUUGUUAAACAUUCAUUUCAACUCCCUCUGGAACUGGAACUGGAAUCGGGUUAUUGCAUCCUGGCUAAUAGCACUCAAUAAAUACACUAAAUAGAAGCAGCCAUUAUCUGGAAAAAAAGGCUCUGCUCUUGAUGGUACUGACAUUCGUCGCUUUGGAGGUGGGCUCGAAUGUUCGUGGAUCGCAUCAAUACGAUUAUUAAUGGAAUUUAAAGGCUUUUAUGGUUAAUAGUUAAAAUCAUUAAAAAGUUCUUUACCCAUUU